rnacentral:rRNA from 1 species
UCGACGGUAGCACAGAGAGCUUGCUCUCGGGUGACGAGUGGCGGACGGGUGAGUAAUGUCUGGGAAACUGCCCGAUGGAGGGGGAUAACUACUGGAACGGUAGCUAAUACCGCAUAAUGUCGCAAGACCAAAGAGGGGGCACCUUCGGGCCUCUUGCCAUCGGAUGUGCCCAGAUGGGAUUAGCUUGUAGGUGGGGUAACGGCUCACCUAGGCGACGAUCCCUAGCUGGUCUGAGAGGAUGACCAGCCACACUGGAACUGAGACACGGUCCAGACUCCUACGGGAGGCAGCAGUGGGGAAUAUUGCACAAUGGGCGCAAGCCUGAUGCAGCCAUGCCGCGUGUAUGAAGAAGGCCUUCGGGUUGUAAAGUACUUUUCAGCGAGGAGGAAGGCGUUGUGUUUAAUAACCACAGCGAUUUGACGUUACUUCGCAGAAGGAGCACCGGCUAACUCCGUGCCAGCAGCCGCGUUAA